rnacentral:rRNA from 1 species
GACGAACGCUGGCUGCGUGCCUAAUACAUGCAAGUAGGACGCAGUUGCGAACGGUUGAGUAACGCGUAGGUAACUAUCUAUUAGAGGUGGAUAACUAUUGGACACGAUAGCUAAUACCGCAUACUAGUAGAUGGACCUUCGUUGUAUUAUGUAGUAAGUAGGGUAAUGGCCUACCUAGGCAACGAUACAUAGGCGACCUGAGAGGGUGAGCAGCCGCACUGGAAGUGAAACACGGCCCAGACUCAUACGGGAGGCAGCAGUAGGAAAGCGUAGGCAAUGGGGGGAACCCUGAGCGAGAAACGCCGAGUUAGUGUGGAAGAUUUUCGGAUCAUGAGUCUCUGUUGUUAAGGAAGCGGUACUUAAUCAAAAAGGGACGGCUAACUACGUGCCAGCCGCCGCGGUAAUUC